rnacentral:rRNA from 1 species
CGUUUGAUGAAUUCAUAGUCAAACGAGGCGAACCGGGGAAACUGAAACAUCUCAGUACCCCGAGAAAAAGAAAUCAACCGAGAUUCCCCCAGUAGCGGCGAGCGAACGGGGAGCAGCCCAGAGUCAACAUCAAUAUUUACCACAGGAGAAGGGUCUGGAAAAGCCGGCAAUAAAGGGUGAUAGCCCCGUAUCUAAAGCGGUAAGUGUUGUGAACUCGAAGAGUAGGGCGGGACACGUGUUAUCCUGUCUGAAUAUGGGGGGACCAUCCUCCAAGGCUAAAUACUCCUGACUGACCGAUAGUGAACCAGUACCGUGAGGGAAAGGCGAAAAGAACCCCGGCGAGGGGAGUGAAAUAGAACCUAAAACCGUGUACGUACAAGCAGUAGGAGCACCCGAAAGGGUGUGACUGCGUACCUUUUGUAUAAUGAGUCAGCGACUUAUAUUCUGUAGCAAGGUUAACCGCAUAGGGGAGCCGUAGGGAAACCGAGUCUUAACUGGGCGUUAAGUUGCAGGGUAUAGACCCGAAACCCGGUGAUCUAGCCAUAGCUAGGUUGAAGGUUGGGUAACACUAACUGGAGGACC